UACGAAGGGGGCUAGCGUUGUUCGGACUUACUGGGCGUAAAGCGCGCGCAGGCGGCCUUUCAAGUCAGGGGUGAAAGCCCGGAGCUCAACUCCGGAAUUGCCUUUGAAACUGUCAGGCUCGAGUACGGGAGAGGUGAGUGGAAUUCCUAGUGUAGAGGUGAAAUUCGUAGAUAUUCGCAAGAACACCAGUGGCGAAGGCGACUCACUGGCCCGGUACUGACGCUGAGGUGCGAAAGCGUGGGGAGCAAACAGG
rnacentral:rRNA from 1 species